rnacentral:rRNA from 1 species
UACGUAGGUGGCAAGCGUUGUUCGGAAUUAUUGGGCGUAAAGGGCGCGUAGGCGGUUUGUUAAGUCGGUCGUGAAAGCCCGGGGCUCAACCCCGGAGGGUCGACCGAUACUGGCAGACUAGAGUACAGAAGAGGUAACUGGAAUUCCCGGUGUAGCGGUUAAAUGCGUAGAUAUCGGGAGGAACACCAGAGGCGAAGGCGGGUUACUGGGCUGAUACUGACGCUGAUGCGCGAAAGCCAGGGGAGCAAACGGG